UGAGGAAUAUUGGUCAAUGGACGAGAGUCUGAACCAGCCAAGUAGCGUGAAGGAUGACUGCCCUAUGGGUUGUAAACUUCUUUUAUACGGGAAUAAAGUGAGGCACGUGUGCCUUUUUGUAUGUACCGUAUGAAUAAGGAUCGGCUAAUUCCGUGCCAGCAGCCGCGGUAAUACGGAGGAUCCGAGCGUUAUCCGGAUUUAUUGGGUUUAAAGGGAGCGUAGGCGGACGCUUAAGUCAGUUGUGAAAGUUUGCGGCUCAACCGUAAAAUUGCAGUUGAUACUGGGUGUCUUGAGUACAGUAGAGGCAGGCGGAAUUCGUGGUGUAGCGGUGAAAUGCUUAGAUAUCACGAAGAACUCCGAUUGCGAAGGCAGCUUGCUGGACUGUAACUGACGCUGAUGCUCGAAAGUGUGGGUAUCAAACAGGAUUAGAUACCCUGGUAGUCCACACAGUAAACGAUGAAUACUCGCUGUUUGCGAUAUACAGUAAGCGGCCAAGCGAAAGCGUUAAGUAUUCCACCUGGGGAGUACGCCGGCAACGGUGAAACUCAAAGGAAUUGACGGGGGCCCGCACAAGCGGAGGAACAUGUGGUUUAAUUCGAUGAUACGCGAGGAACCUUACCCGGGCUUGAAUUGCAACUGAAUGAUGUGGAGACAUGUCAGCCGCAAGGCAGUUGUGAAGGUGCUGCAUGGUUGUCGUCAGCUCGUGCCGUGAGGUGUCGGCUUAAGUGCCAUAACGAGCGCAACCCUUAUCGAUAGUUACCAUCAGGUUAUGCUGGGGACUCUGUCGAGACUGCCGUCGUAAGAUGUGAGGAAGGUGGGGAUGACGUCAAAUCAGCACGGCCCUUACGUCCGGGGCUACACACGUGUUACAAUGGGGGGUACAGAAGGCAGCUACACGGCGACGUGAUGCUAAUCCCUAAAGCCUCUCUCAGUUCGGAUUGGAGUCUGCAACCCGACUCCAUGAAGCUGGAUUCGCUAGUAAUCGCGCAUCAGCCACGGCGCGGUGAAUACGUUCCC
rnacentral:rRNA from 1 species